rnacentral:lncRNA from 1 species
AAUCAAGCCUGGGCAAUGGCGGGCGCCCCUCCCCCAGCCUCGCUGCCGCCUUGCAGUUUGAUCUCAGACUGCUGUGCUAGCAAUCAGCGAGACUCCGUGGGCGUAGGACCCUCCGAGCCAGGUGCGGGAUAUAUUCUCGUGGUGCGCCGUUUUUUAAGCCCGUCGGAAAGGCGCAGUAUUUGGGUAGGAGUGACCCGAUUUUCCAGGUGCCGUCCGUCACCCCUUUCUUUGACUCAGAAAGGGAACUCCCUGACCCCUUGCGCUUCCCAAGUGAGGCAAUGCCUCGCCCUGCUUCGGCUCGCGCAUGGUGCUCGCUCCCACUGACCUGCGCCCACUGUCUGGCACUCCCUAGUGAGAUGAACCCGGUACCUCAGCUGGAAAUGCAGAAAUCACCCGUCUUCUGCGUCGCUCACGCUGGGAGCUGUAGACUGGAGCUGUAGACAGGAGCUGUUCCUAUUCGGGCAUCUUGGCUCCUCCUUGAAAACAAGCCCUGGAAAAACAAAGAAUGGAACACCCCUCCGCUGACUUCAACCAACUGCCUGCUGAUGCGGCCUGACUCCCAGCCCUUUUUGCAGUUUUGAAGUGACAAACUGACUAGGCUACAAAGUAUUCAACCAUGGGCUGGUUCUGGCUGGUUCACCGAGGCUGUGUACAAAGUGUCUUCAUGUCCUGUGUUUCACCUUUUAACAUACAGAACCUAAUUUUACUGCAUUUUAAUGUUAAUUCUCCACUCGAAGGUGAACAUGGGAUGUAUGUAACACAUAUGUUUGCUUAUCAAGCACACAUAUGACCCCCUUUCAUGAAUAUUCAUAGUUCCCCCUGUGACCUGUUGAAUAUGUCUGUUUAGCCAACCUGUUUGGCAUAAAACUCCUAUCCCACCCUAUCUCCCUCAAAGUACCUGUUUGUGGUCUCAGCUGGAGGUGCCACUUCCCAGCCUGCAGUUUGCAACCCUUCUCAAGAAAUAAAGUCUUCCUUUCCAA